CAGGUGUUGGAGUAGCUCACCCAACUGCACCAGGAGUUGGAGGACUACAGCCCACAGUGGUUAUGGCCCCUGUAACAACAGUAGUCAUGGCAACAUCAUUUGCUGACACUCCAGCAUCAUGCACCUGUCCUGUUUGUCGCGAGAACAUAUUGACACGUAUACAACAUACCAAUGGACUCCUAGUCUGGGCUACCUUUGGCACCUUGAUUCUGCUCGGUUGCUGGUUAGGAUGCUGCCUGAUUCCUUUCUGCUUGGACAGUUGUAAGGAUGUCGAUCAUUAUUGCCCCAAAUGCAAUCAUCACCUAUCAAAAUAUAAAAGGC